rnacentral:tRNA from 1 species
GGUCCUGUAGCUCAGCGGUAGAGCGGUCCCCUCAUAAGGGAUUGGUCGGCAGUUCGAAUCAUGCCCAGGGCCACCA